GGUUAAGUGAAUAAGGGCGCACGGUGGAUGCCUUGGCACUAGGAGCCGAUGAAGGACGGGACUAACACCGAUAUGCUUUGGGGAGCUGUAAGUAAGCUAUGAUCCAGAGAUUUCCGAAUGGGGGAACCCAAUAUCUUUUAUAGGAUAUUACUUUUCAGUGAAUACAUAGCUGAUUAGAGGUAGACGCAGAGAACUGAAACAUCUUAGUACCUGCAGGAAGAGAAAGAAAAUUCGAUUCCCUGAGUAGCGGCGAGCGAAACGGGAAGAGCCCAAACCAACAAGCUUGCUUGUUGGGGUUGUAGGACUCCAAUAUGGUAGUCUGUUAGUAUAGUUGAAGGAUUUGGAAAAUUCCGCUAAAGAGGGUGAAAGCCCCGUAGACGAAAUGCUGACAACACCUAGGAGGAUCCUGAGUACGGCGGAACACGAGAAAUUCCGUCGGAAUCCGCGGGGACCAUCCCGCAAGGCUAAAUACUCCCUAGUGACCGAUAGUGAACCAGUACCGUGAGGGAAAGGUGAAAAGCACCCCGGAAGGGGAGUGAAAUAGAUCCUGAAACCGUGUGCCUACAACAAGUCAAAGCUCGUUAAUGAGUGAUGGCGUGCCUUUUGUAGAAUGAACCGGCGAGUUACGAUUGCAUGCGAGGUUAAGUCGAAGAGACGGAGCCGCAGCGAAAGCGAGUCUGAAUAGGGCGAAUGAGUAUGUAGUCGUAGACCCGAAACCAUGUGAUCUACCCAUGUCCAGGUUGAAGGUGCGGUAAAACGCACUGGAGGACCGAACCCACGUACGUUGAAAAGUGCGGGGAUGAGGUGUGGGUAGCGGAGAAAUUCCAAACGAACUUGGAGAUAGCUGGUUCUCUCCGAAAUAGCUUUAGGGCUAGCCUCGGAAUUGAGAAUGAUGGAGGUAGAGCACUGUUUGGACUAGGGGCCCAUCUCGGGUUACCGAAUUCAGAUAAACUCCGAAUGCCAUUCAUUUAUAUCCGGGAGUCAGACUGCGAGUGAUAAGAUCCGUAGUCGAAAGGGAAACAGCCCAGACCACCAGCUAAGGUCCCAAAAUAUAUGUUAAGUGGAAAAGGAUGUGGGGUUGCACAGACAACUAGGAUGUUGGCUUAGAAGCAGCCACCAUUUAAAGAGUGCGUAAUAGCUCACUAGUCGAGUGACCCUGCGCCGAAAAUGUACCGGGGCUAAACAUAUUACCGAAGCUGUGGACUACACCAUUAGGUGUAGUGGUAGGAGAGCGUUCUAAGGGCGUUGAAGGUCGAUCGUGAGGACGGCUGGAGCGCUUAGAAGUGAGAAUGCCGGUAUGAGUAGCGAAAGACAGGUGAGAAUCCUGUCCACCGUAUGACUAAGGUUUCCUGGGGAAGGCUCGUCCGCCCAGGGUUAGUCGGGACCUAAGCCGAGGCCGAUAGGCGUAGGCGAUGGACAACAGGUUGAUAUUCCUGUACCAGUUGUUUUUGUUUGAGCAAUGGAGGGACGCAGUAGGCUAAGGAAUGCAUGCGAUUGGAAGUGCAUGUCCAAGCAAUGAGUCUUGAGUAGAGUUAAAUGCUUUACUCUCUAAGGACAAGUUGUGACGGGGAGCGAAAUAAUAGUAGCGAAGUUCCUGAUGUCACACUGCCAAGAAAAGCUUCUAGUGAGAAAACAACUGCCCGUACCGUAAACCGACACAGGUAGUCGAGGAGAGUAUCCUAAGGUGAGCGAGCGAACUCUCGUUAAGGAACUCGGCAAAAUGACCCCGUAACUUCGGGAGAAGGGGUGCUGACUUCGGUCAGCCGCAGUGAAUAGGCCCAAGCGACUGUUUAUCAAAAACACAGGUCUCUGCAAAAUCGUAAGAUGAAGUAUAGGGGCUGACGCCUGCCCGGUGCUGGAAGGUUAAGAGGAUGGGUUAGCUUCGGCGAAGCUCAGAAUUGAAGCCCCAGUAAACGGCGGCCGUAACUAUAACGGUCCUAAGGUAGCGAAAUUCCUUGUCGGGUAAGUUCCGACCCGCACGAAAGGCGUAACGAUUUGGCAGGACGGAAAGACCCCAUGGAGCUUUACUGUAGUUUGAUAUUGAGUGUUUGUACCACAUGUACAGGAUAGGUAGGAGCCGAUGAGACCGGAACGCUAGUUUCGGAGGAGGCGCUGGUGGGAUACUACCCUUGUGUUAUGAACCCUCUAACCCGCACCACUAAUCGUGGUGGGAGACAGUGUCAGAUGGGCAGUUUGACUGGGGCGGUCGCCUCCUAAAAGGUAACGGAGGCGCCCAAAGGUUCCCUCAGAAUGGUUGGAAAUCAUUCGAAGAGUGUAAAGGCAGAAGGGAGCUUGACUGCGAGACCUACAAGUCGAGCAGGGACGAAAGUCGGGCUUAGUGAUCCGGUGGUUCCGCAUGGAAGGGCCAUCGCUCAACGGAUAAAAGCUACCCUGGGGAUAACAGGCUUAUCUCCCCCAAGAGUCCACAUCGACGGGGAGGUUUGGCACCUCGAUGU
rnacentral:rRNA from 1 species